AAGCCAAUGAGGAUUUGUGUUUUUUGUUGGAAUUACCGGCUGAAUUUGCAUUGAUGUCAAAUACACUGGCUAUUUAUCUGAGGCUUCCC
rfam:Eucalyptus grandis cultivar BRASTZ1 unplaced genomic scaffold scaffold_11, whole genome shotgun sequence.